rnacentral:lncRNA from 1 species
UCCCAUGACAAAGAAGGUGAUUGUCAGUCGAGAUGUAAUUUUUGCAGAAGAAGAAGCUUGAAAAUGGGAUGUGGAUGCCCAUAAAGAUUCUCGAAUACGUAUUAUUUCUAUUCUUGAAGAAGAAGCAGAAGCUUCCAUCACAAAUGAAGAAGCCUCAUCAAGCUCUGCUCAAGAAACUUCUAUACCAUAGGCUUCUCAAGAAACUUCUUUACCACAAGCUCCGG